GGAUGUGAGGGCGAUAUGGCUGCCACGUCUGUCACCCCAUUGAUUGCAGGGUUGAUGUAGCUGAUCUGGCUGGCUAGACCGGUGUUCCCUUCCUCCCUCACCACUCCAUGUGUGUCCCUCCCCAAGCUGCGUGCUCGGUGGAAGAGGAUGACCUUCCCCGAAUAGAGGAGGAUCAGUCUUUGGUCAAGGGUAUAUGAGUAGCUGUGCUUCCCUGCUAGAACUCCAAACGCACUCUCAAGGAAGACACCCAGCAUUGACUCUGGCCAUUGCAUGUACCCACACAUACAUGCACACAU
ensembl:misc_RNA 7SK 7SK RNA